rnacentral:rRNA from 1 species
GACGAACGCUGGUGGCGUGCCUAAUACAUGCAAGUCGAGCGGACCAAUAGAAGCUUGCUUCUGUUGGUUAGCGGCGGACGGGUGAGUAACACGUGGGCAACCUGCCUGUAAGACUGGGAUAACUUCGGGAAACCGGAGCUAAUACCGGAUAAUUCAUCCCCUCGCAUGAGGGGAUGCUGAAAGUCGGUUUACGCUGACACUUACAGAUGGGCCCGCGGCGCAUUAGCUAGUUGGUGAGGUAAUGGCUCACCAAGGCGACGAUGCGUAGCCGACCUGGGAGGGUGAUCGGCCACACUGGGACGGGGACACGGCCCAGACUCCUACGGGAGGCAGCAGUAGGGAAUCGUCCACAAUGGACGAAAGUCUGAUGGAGCAACGCCGCGUGAGCGAUGAAGGCCUUCGGGUCGUAAAGCGCUGUUGUUAGGGAAGAACAAGUAUCGGAGUAACUGCCGGUACCUUGACGGUACCUAACCAGAAAGCCACGGCUAACUACGUGCCAGCAGCCGCCGUAA